UUACAGACAGGGUCGGCGUUAGGGUGGGGCGCGGUCGGGCUAGAUCUGUAGGGAGCGCCGCAGCCCGGUGUCCCUAAUAUUUAUUCAUGUAUAUCCGUUUAGAUUAGUAAAGCUGCUAUGUAGUUUAACAAUUUUUACAAUUUAACUACAGAUUCAUCGUUUUAUAUUAUUACCUUGUCUUUUUUUCUUAAAAAUUUUCAGCCCCUGAAUGGGCGUCACGAUAAUCUUGCCCAGGGCGCCAAUAUUGCUAAAACCGGCUCUGUUUACAGAAGUGUAAAUGUGAAAUACUUAGCUUUUCGUCGUAUUUGACUUUGACAGUGUAAACAUUAUUUGACCCCGAAGAGAUUACUGAAUGUAAACAUGCACUUUAUUUAAUUACAUGUUCGAAAUGCAUUCCGCCUUCUGCGACGCAAUAUUCUGCUCUUUUACAGAAGUUUGAAUGCGUUGCUGCAGUUAGACUUGCUGGAUCUACGCGCUGCAUGCUGAGAUGAUUCUUUCUUGCAAUUCUUCAAUAUUAUUAAUUGGUGAUUGAUAUACAAUGGACCGUAAAUAUCCCCAUAAAAAAAAUCAAGUGGAGAUAAGUCCGGGGAACGAGCUGGCCACCGUUAUUUGCCGAAUGACUCUUUUUGUAACAUAUCCAAAAAUCAUCGAAAUCGGGAAGGACGUAGAUACUUGUUCUGUAGUUUCACCAAAAAAAAGAAUAACAAUAGCAACAAAAAAUAAUGAUAGUACAUCUCGUGACACAUUGGUUAUAAAUCGCUAUCGUAAUCGAUAGAACGAUACGUGAAAAAAAAUUCACGCGUCGGAGUUCAUCACCUCUUUCAGGCUCGAACGUCCCAUUCUCCACGAUAUGUAAGUACAUUGCAUUGUAUCGUCGUCGACGGUUCGGUCAACGCACACAUAUUCACAUAUGCGAGCUGCGAAUGAGCGCGCGGUCGAGCGCAGAAAACGAACGCACUGCGCCCUACAGAAGAAACGAGGAACUAAAUUUGUGGUCUGCUUUACCUUUUUGAUAUCUUCCGCGAGUGAACAAUCAACGAUUCACCCACCGGCCGUGGGUACGCCAAUGGAUUGUUCAACGAGCCGCUGCAGGGGCAUCCACCGUUCUGUUCCGAGAGUCACCAGCGGAAAAUCCGCACAAAUGCAGACUCCAUCUGAGCUUGUCGCCAAACCAGCUGGAGCAGCUACUGACGGCGGUGCUGCAGUUCCGAAUACAGGUGUUCCGCAUCCCAAAGUCAACGUUUCCAACGCUGCUCCCUGAGGUUUGCGAAGGUACUUUGAACGCGCUGAAGGAUUUCAUAAAGGUUCCGAGUGGUCCCGCCGAGUGGUUCAGAUCGCCCAAGGCUUCCAAGAACGGUGAAAUUUCCCGGGGUGCUGCGGGACUAUCGACGGGAAACAUAUUACCAUUCAAGCCAUUCCAAACUGCGGGACGGAAUUCUACAAUUAUCGAGGAACGAACUCCGUCGUACCACCGUCGAGAUACAGUACCUCGUCGGUGGUAGAGUCAUGUUGGGCAGGAGUGCGCAUUUUUUCUUUGAAUCGUUGUAAAAUCAAAAAUUUCAAGUGUAAUAAAAUAAAACAAAGUAA